UAUUAGUCGCGGCGGUAGACGCAUCCUUUAGUGGCAGUCAUGGGGUGCAGGAGGAAUUCUCACUGCAAGUUGAAAUAUUGGCUGAUGUUUGUACUCUGUGUUUCCUUCAUACAAACAUCUUAUGGAGAAAGCAAACUGGAUGUCCGCCUUAACAGAAGGGGUUGUGGAGUGUCAGAACCAACGGGAAGGGUUUACAAUGGCAAAAGUAUACGCAAGCCGCAGAUACCCUGGAUCGU
rnacentral:lncRNA from 1 species